UUAAUACCGCACACCACUGGUAUAUAUAUAUUAAACAAAGCAGAAUAACACAACAAUGUAUUAAUAAAUAAAUGUUUGGUUUCGGGUGAGAGUUGGAAAUGGAACCGGAAAUCUACAUUUGUUGCUACGUAUCUGAAAAGUAACGAUGACGUCAACAAUAAUAUGACGUGAUGUAUCGUGUAACUGUUACAGAGUUACAGAGAACUCCACAACGACGCCGCUUAUAAAGACGGAUUAUACUGAGCGCCAAGACUAAGGAUGUGAAGUCCAGAAUGAUAUGUCAGCCAGCGCAAACUCUACCCUGGUAGUAUUGGUAUCAGGAUCUAUGAGUCUGAAAAACACAGAGCAUACCGUUAGUUUGUAAUGGAUACAUGUAUAUUUUGUACUAGUAUUGGGAAUCAGUCGGAAUUUCAUCAUCGAUCAUUGAUUAUAAUCUUGUUGUACCAACCGAUCAAUUUUCGAAUACACUAAUGGUCACACUA